rnacentral:rRNA from 1 species
CAGCCGCCGGCGGUAAUACAGAGGAUGCAAGCGUUAUCCGGAAUGAUUGGGCGUAAAGCGUCUGUAGGUGGCUUUUCAAGUCCGCCGUCAAAUCCCAGGGCUCAACCCUGGACAGGCGGUGGAAACUACCAAGCUGGAGUACGGUAGGGGCAGGGGGAAUUUCCAGUGGAGCGGUGAAAUGCGUUGAGAUCGAAAAGAACACCAACAGCGAAAGCACUCUGCUGGGACGGCACUGACACUAAGAGACGAAAGCUAGGGGAGCAAAUGGGAUUAGAUACCCGCGUAGUCCCUGUCUCUUAUU